rnacentral:rRNA from 1 species
UACGAAGGGGGCUAGCGUUGCUCGGAUUCAUUGGGCGUAAAGGGUGCGUAGGCGGCGCGGUAAGUCGGGUGUGAAAUCUUGGAGCUUAACUCCGAAACUGCAUUCGAUACUGCCGUGCUUGAGGACUGGAGAGGAGACUGGAAUUUACGGUGUAGCGGUGAAAUGCGUAGAUAUCGUAAGGAAGACCAGCGGCGAAGGCGGGUCUCUGGACAGUUCCUGACGCUGAGGCACGAAGGCCAGGGGAGCAAACAGG